rnacentral:rRNA from 1 species
GAUGAACGCUGACAGAAUGCUUAACACAUGCAAGUCAACUUGAAUUUGGGUUUUUAACUUAGGUUUGGGUGGCGGACGGGUGAGUAACGCGUAAAGAACUUGCCUCACAGCUAGGGACAACAUUUGGAAACGAAUGCUAAUACCUAAUAUUAUGAUAAUAGGGCAUCCUAUAAUUAUGAAGGCUAUAAGCGCUGUGAGAGAGCUUUGCGUCCCAUUAGCUAGUUGGAGAGGUAACGGCUCACCAAGGCGAUGAUGGGUAGCCGGCCUGAGAGGGUGAUCGGCCACAAGGGGACUGAGACACGGCCCUUACUCCUACGGGAGGCAGCAGUGGGGAAUAUUGGACAAUGGACCGAGAGUCUGAUCCAGCAAUUCUGUGUGCACGAUGAAGUUUUUCGGAAUGUAAAGUGCUUUCAGUUGGGAAGAAACAAAUGACGGUACCAACAGAAGAAGUGACGGCUAAAUACGUG